AUUCCUACGGGAGGCAGCAGUGGGGAAUUUUGGACAAUGGGCGCAAGCCUGAUCCAGCCAUGCCGCGUGCGGGAAGAAGGCCUUCGGGUUGUAAACCGCUUUUGUCAGGGAAGAAAUCCUUUGGGAUAACACCUCGGGGGGAUGACGGUACCUGAAGAAUAAGCACCGGCUAACUACGUGCCAGCAGCCGCGGUAAUACGUAGGGUGCGAGCGUUAAUCGGAAUUACUGGGCGUAAAGCGUGCGCAGGCGGUUCUAUAAGACAGAUGUGAAAUCCCCGGGCUCAACCUGGGAACUGCAUUUGUGACUGUAGGGCUUGAGUGCGGCAGAGGGGGAUGGAAUUCCGCGUGUAGCAGUGAAAUGCGUAGAUAUGCGGAGGAACACCGAUGGCGAAGGCAAUCCCCUGGGCCUGCACUGACGCUCAUGCACGAAAGCGUGGGGAGCAAACGGGAUUAGAUACCCUGGUAGUCCACGCCCUAAACGAUGUCAACUGGUUGUUGGGAGGGUUUCUUCUCAGUAACGUAGCUAACGCGUGAAGUUGACCGCCUGGGGAGUACGGCCGCAAGGUUGAAACUCAAAGGAAUUGACGGGGACCCGCACAAGCGGUGGAUGAUGUGGUUUAAUUCGACGCAACGCGAAAAACCUUACCUACCCUUGACAUGUCUGGAAUUUUGCAGAGAUGCGAAAGUGCUCGAAAGAGAACCAGAACACAGGUGCUGCAUGGCCGUCGUCAGCUCGUGUCGUGAGAUGUUGGGUUAAGUCCCGCAACGAGCGCAACCCUUGUCAUUAGUUGCUACGAAAGGGCACUCUAAUGAGACUGCCGGUGACAAACCGGAGGAAGGUGGGGAUGACGUCAGGUCAUCAUGGCCCUUAUGGGUAGGGCUACACACGUCAUACAAUGGCCGGUACAGAGGGUUGCCAACCCGCGAGGGGGAGCCAAUCCCAGAAAACCGGUCGUAGUCCGGAUCGCAGUCUGCAACUCGACUGCGUGAAGUCGGAAUCGCUAGUAAUCGCGGAUCAGCUUGCCGCGGUGAAUACGUUCCCGGGCCUUGUACACACCGCCAUCCAUAUGACUAGU
rnacentral:rRNA from 1 species